GACGAACGCUGGCGGCGUGCUUAACACAUGCAAGUCAAGGGGGCCCGUAAGGGUAACCGGCGAACGGGUGCGUAACACGUGAGCAAUCUGCCUAGAUGUGGGGGAUAGCCGGCCCAACGGCCGGGUAAUACCGCAUACGCUCGUCGACUGGCAUCAGUUGACGAGGAAACUUUCGAGGCAUCUAGAGGAGCUCGCGGCCUAUCAGCUAGUUGGUGGGGUAACGGCCUACCAAGGCGGUGACGGGUAGCUGGUCUGAGAGGAUGGCCAGCCACAUUGGGACUGAGAUACGGCCCAGACUCCUACGGGAGGCAGCAGUGGGGAAUAUUGCGCAAUGGCCGAAAGGCUGACGCAGCGACGCCGCGUGGGGGAUGAAGCAUUUCGGUGUGUAAACCCCUGUUGCUCGGGACGAACAAGCCUUUUCGAGGGCUCUGACGGUACCGAGUGAGGAAGCACCGGCUAACUCCGUGCCAGCAGCCGCGGUAAU
rnacentral:rRNA from 1 species